rfam:Parabacteroides goldsteinii dnLKV18 genomic scaffold acPFM-supercont1.5, whole genome shotgun sequence.
UUGAGCCGUAUGAUGCGAAAGUAUCAUGUACGGUUCUUAGGGGGGAAAGGGGUAGCAAUACCCCCGACCUACCCGAC